UCUUUUCCUUUUUUUUUUUUAAAUUUAGUCUCUGCUUUCUUUUUGUUUAUAUUUCUUUUUUAAUUUUAAAAUGGUUUAAACUAUGUUAAAUUCCAAAAUGGUGUAAAAUGGUUUUCUUUGAAUAAUCUUGAGUUCACAUAGUAUUUAAUAGGAGAAAUGCAUUAUUUAACAUGAUUAGAAAUGAUAAGUACAUACUUCUUGAUUAUAAAAAAGCAGGAAUCUGUUGUGUCCUGAUAGAGAAUAAGAACAUCCAAGUAGAACAUUAUAUUGGAUAUACAUUCAGAUCUUUAGAAAAAAUUAAGUUACAUGAACAUAUGAUUAAUAUACAAAAAAAUAGCUCUUUCACAGAGGGCAAACAUAUGUGGUACAGAAGUUAAAUGGCAAAAUGCAAGAUUGUUAAAGACAGUGGAAGAUCCUAAGCAAGGAAGAAUUGCCAAAAAUCUUAUAAUUUAUAAAAAAAAAGAAAAAGGUAUAAAUAUUAUUAAUAAAAUAGAUUGCUAUACAGUAAGUAUGGCUUGAAAACAGAUAAAACACAUAAAUGUAGUUUAGUUAAACAAAAACAACAUUGUUUUAGUUAUGAUACAAACAUAC
rnacentral:lncRNA from 1 species